rnacentral:rRNA from 1 species
GUAGGUGGCAAGCACUUGUCCGGGAAUUAUUGGGCGUAAAGCGCGCGCAGGGCGGUCCUUUAAGUCUGAUGUGAAAGCCCACGGCUCAACCGUGGAGGGUCAUUGGAAACUGGGGGACUUGAGUACAGAAGAGGAAAGCGGAAUUCCAAGUGUAGCGGUGAAAUGCGUAGAGAUUUGGAGGAACACCAGUGGCGAAGGCGGCUUUCUGGUCUGUAACUGACGCUGAGGCGCGAAAGCGUGGGGAGCAAACAGGAUUAGAUACCCUGGUAGUCCACGCCGUAAACGAUGAGUGCUAAGUGUUAGGGGGUUUCCGCCCCUUAGUGCUGCAGCUAACGCAUUAAGCACUCCGCCUGGGGAGUACGGCCGCAAGGCUG